rnacentral:rRNA from 1 species
AUGAUUGCUGAGGGAGGUUAUUUUGAUGGUUCCAGAGAUGCUAUCCUCAUGGCAGGAUCACUGAUUCACGAUUCCCUGGACUCUAUUUGUGACAAUACAGAGAUUGAGCAAGGAAACUUCCACGGUCCCUCCUUUUUCAUAGAAGAUAUAUGCAAUCCAACCAAUCUUACCUCUGAGUCUGCACGAACAAUCAACCAUAUACAACAUCGGGCUGAAUUUGACAUGGAUCAGGAUCUUCACGGCCACAUGAUACAAGAGACCCAGGUAGAAACUUCAAAUUGGGUUCCUGCAAUGUUCGGUACCCAAAAUCAUAUCAUCAGCCAACAGUCGAUUGAACAACAAAUGGAUGACUAUGAUGCUGCAUCAUAUCCAGAUGGUGCUCACACAGCUGCACCUGAUCUCCUAAAUCUUCUACAGAUCCCAAGGUACAGUAUGACUACUGCAUUCCCUUCGACAGAACAUAUCUUUGGUGAUCCAGGGCAGAAUGCUGGCAACCAAUUGGACAUCAACAAUGAUGUUCUGGGAAGAGCAAUUCAUGACAGUGGGAUGAUGCUCGGUGAUUCAACUCUACCAUUACAAUAUAAUGACAAUCAAUCUCACCUAUUCAAGGAUCUCUAUCAUUCACUUCCGCAAAGUUUUGGGCUGUUCUCCAGUGAUGAUGAGAGAGAUCGGGCGAUGGGGGUAGUAGGAGCUGCAGGAAAUAUUCUCCAAGAGAUAGACGGGAGGCAGUUUGGUAGCCCAAAACUGGGAAGAAGUAAGAAAGGUGGCUUUGGCAAGGCAAAAGCUAACUUUGCAACUGAAAAAGAGAGGAGGGAGCAGAUAAAUGUGAAAUAUGGGGCUUUAAGAUCACUGCUGCCAAGCCCUACGAAGAAUGACCGAGCCUCUAUAGUUGGAGAUGCCAUCGAAUACAUCAAUGAGCUGAACAGAACAUUGAAGGAACUGACAAGUUUGGUGGAAGGCGAUACCAAACAUAGGAUGAAGAGGCUUAAGUUGGAUGAUGCAGCACGUGACAACGGAGAAAGUUCGUCGCUGCAGCAAGUGAAGGACGAUCAGGACAGUCAGCUGAAUGGAGCUAUAAGGAGCUCAUGGAUACAAAGGAGGUCCAAGGAAUGUCAUGUUGAUGUCCGCAUAGUUGGUAAUGAGAUCAACAUCAAGUUCACUGAAAAGAAGAAGACUAAUUCUUUGCUUUGUGCUGCAAAGGUUAUAGAUGAGUUUCGUCUUGAACUCAUCCAUGUUGUUGGGGGGGUUAUUGGAGAUCAACGUAUAUUCAUGUUCAACACAAAGAUAUCUGAGGGCUCCUCGGUCUACGCCAGUGCGUUGGCUUCGAAGCUCCUCCGAGCUAUGGAGAUGGAGCACCUCGCUGUCGAUAUCUUCAGUUAG